GGCCAGUGAAUUGUAAUACGACUCACUAUAGGGCGAAUUGGGCCCUCUAGAUGCAUGCUCGAGCGGCCGCCAGUGUGAUGGAUAUCUGCAGAAUUCGCCCUUCAGGCCUAACACAUGCAAGUCGAACGGCAGCACGGGUGCUUGCACCUGGUGGCGAGUGGCGGACGGGUGAGUAAUACAUCGGAACGUAUCCAGGAGAGGGGGAUAACGCAUCGAAAGAUGUGCUAAUACCGCAUAUUCUCUAUGGAGGAAAGCAGGGGAUCGAAAGACCUUGUGCUCUUGGAGCGGCCGAUGUCUGAUUAGCUAGUUGGUGGGGUAAAGGCCUACCAAGGCGACGAUUCAGUAGUUGGUCUGAGAGGACGACCAGCCACACUGGGACUGAGACACGGCCCAGACUCCUACGGGAGGCAGCAGUGGGGAAUUUUGGACAAUGGGCGCAAGCCUGAUCCAGCAAUGCCGCGUGAGUGAAGAAGGCCUUCGGGUUGUAAAGCUCUUUCAGUCGAGAAGAAAAGACUGCGGUGAAUAACUGUAGUUCAUGACGNAUCGACAGAAGAAGCCCCGGCAAC
rnacentral:rRNA from 1 species